UGUUAACAUAAAUACACAUAAUCAUAUGACAGUAUCAUACACGAAAGGCAUAACUGUCGGUGAGAGUUGUCCAUAAUAUUUUCUCAACUUCACUAUUUUUGGAUCUUUCUUUAUAAAUAUUUAUUUCCCACUUAUCUCGCUCUCUGCACAUUUCAACUCUUCCCUUCAUUGGAUCCAUUCUUCCUUCCAUUUUUAUUCAAGGUCAAUCCGUUAUCGGGUUUACAUUUUUCUACUUUCCUGUUUUUGGAAAAGUGAUUGAUUGAGCUCGUGGUUAAUUGCUUCGAGAAAAAGAGACAUAGUUUUUUUGGGGUCAAUUGUUUUAUGAUUGUCUGAAUCUAUCUAAUGUGCAUUAUUUGAAGAUAUAUGCAUAUGGCAUUGAGUUGCAUGUGUAGCCGAGUUUGCUAAUGAUUUAUGGUUACCGAGGCCCUUAGCGCAUAACGUCUGUUCCAGAGUUCCUUUUGUGUGAUGUGCUGAUUUAAGGGAUUCGCUUUCUGGUGGAGUUUAGAAGGCAUUUUGUACGUUAUUAACAAAACGGGUAGAGGUUGAAUUUCAUUUGUCGUUGUGAUGGAUCAAAUAAGAGCAAUGGAUAAGGAUAUAGAAGUUGAUCUUGAAAGUGGAAUGCCACUAAUUCGAGAUGAUUCAAUGAAAGUAUCUACUCCCGGUACUUCGAAGCAAGGAAAGACGUUACUAUCUAAAAUUUCCGGUUACUUCGUUAGAGGUUCUGUAAGCAGUGAAGACAGGUCAAGUUUACACAAUGAAUCAAGUUUAAGUGAAGUUUCCGUGGAUGAGGUGGAACCGGAAAACAAGCCAAUGGUGGGACAGGACUCGGCGAGGCGCGUAGAGAAGUCCUUGGUAAAGGAGAAACGUAAAAAGGUCAGUAAUAAAAAGGCGGCGAAACCUCCACGACCUCCACAAGCUCCAACAUUAGAUGCAGCUGAUCAUAAACUAAUCAGAGAGAUAUCUAAACUCGCUAUGUUGAAGCGUGCACGGGUAGAGCGAAUGAAAGCCUUGAAGAAGAUGAAAACUGCUAAAUCUCCACCAUCUUCCAAUAGCAGCACCUGGGCCAUGAUUCUUACUGUUAUCGUCGUAAUUGUGAUAAUAAUACAAGGCUUGUCGUCCGGAAAAAAUUCGGACGAAACUUUCCAGGGAUCUCCUUUAUCUGCAAGCGAAACAGAGAGUGGUUUAAUUUCAGUUCAGUAUCAACUCAAUCCAUCUGCAAGUGCCUCAAAUGCACCUGGUUCAGAGUCUUAUAAGUAAGUUUAAAUGCAUCCUUCUCAUCGAACCUCUGCUUUCGCUCACUUUCCCCGUAUUUUCUACUUAUCGGGAAGUAGAAUGGUACCCGGUUCACGGUUUUAAAUAGCAGUUGCGAGCCAUUGCGGCUUAACACACCAAUGCAGUCCGUGGUCACGGCUUGGUGUGGUCCGAAGUUUAGAACCUGAACUAAUAGUAUCCUUAUUAUUUUCGCACCCAGGGUGACUUGUUCAACAAGUAAAAUGUUAAACAACUCACCUUGGGCUCCGGGGAAAAAACAUUGGUACUUGUUAAAUUCCUCGAAAAGUUGACUUAUUCGGGAAUUUCCUGAUUUACGCUUAUUUUGCAGCCUUCUAAUAUCAACUCUGCUACUUCAUGGUUCUUGCAGUUUUGUAUAGCAAGUAGAAGGUGCAGAUUUUUCUGGAAAACCUACAAGAGAUUCUGGUUAAUGCAUGCAGAUUCAUUGACAAUAACAAGAUCAUGCAUCAAUAUAUUUGGUUAAGGAAAAAUGGCUUAGUGUUCUUGUCCUUAAUAUAAUUUAUUUAUUACAACAAAUUUGUUAAUGUAUUGGUAAUUUAUCCCCUAUAUGUAUAUUAAUCAAUAUUAGGGGGUGAGUUAUAAAUUAUGAUAACAAAUUUGUUAUUGUUCUUCAUUGGCUUGCCAAAUACAGUAGAGAUUUUGCUUCUGAGGCUUUAACACCAUUUGUAACUAUAAU
rnacentral:lncRNA from 1 species